AAACAAAUUGUGCCGAAUCUCUAAAAUGAGUACGGGGGAUUAAUUAUCUUGGGGUGAAUCUUCUAUAAUAAGAAGUAGGGUGACUCUCAACCCGAACCCGUCAACUAACCUCGGAGGCAAAAUGGAGGGAUAAU
rnacentral:sRNA from 2 species